UACGUAGGUGGCGAGCGUUGUCCGGAUUUACUGGGCGUAAAGGGCGCGCAGGCGGCUGGUCAAGUCCGAUGUGAAAGCUCCCGGCUUAACUGGGAAAUUGCAUCGGAAACUGAUCGGCUGGAAGGUGGGAGAGGGUAGCGGAAUUCCCGGUGUAGUGGUGAAAUGCGUAGAUAUCGGGAGGAACACCAGUGGCGAAAGCGGCUACCUGGCCCAUUCUUGACGCUGAGGCGCGAAAGCUAGGGGAGCAAACGGG
rnacentral:rRNA from 1 species